GCCCAGAUGGCGGAAUUGGUAGACGCGCUGGUCUCAAACACCAGUUAAGCAAUUCGUGACGGUUCGAUCCCGGCUCUGUGUA
rnacentral:tRNA from 1 species